CCAAACUUGGUCAUUUAGAGGAAGUAAAAGUCGUAACAAGGUCUCCGUUGGUGAACCAGCGGAGGGAUCAUUACAGAGUUACCAAACUCCAAAACCCUUUGUGAACCUUACCACUGUUUCCUCGGCGAGGUAUUCAGGCCCUCAGCGGCCGAGAACCCGCCGAAGGACCACUAAACUCGUGUUUGUUUAGCGUAUCUGAAUGCUUCUAAAACAAAUAAGUUAAAACUUUCAACAACGGAUCUCUUGGUUCUGGCAUCGAUGAAGAACGCAGC
rnacentral:misc_RNA from 1 species